rnacentral:RNase_P_RNA from 1 species
UGAGACCUCUUGAUGGCCGCGGCCGUGAUCUUCAUUGGGAUCGGCUGAGGAACUUCCGGGCUCCAUAGAGCACGAUGGCGGAUAACGUCCGCCCAGGGUGACCUGAGAGAUAGCGCAACAGAGAACAGACCGCCCGUCCUCGACGGGUAAGGGUGAAACGGCGGUGUAAGAGACCACCGGGCCUCUGGUAACAGUAGGUCGCAUGGCAAGCCUCAUCGGGAGCAAGGCCAAGCAGAUGGCGGUAAGGGCUGCUCGCCCGUGUCAUCGGGUAGGCUGCUAGAGCCUGGCGGUAACGUCAGGUCGAGAUGGAUGGCCAUCCGUGCCGUACGUUCGCGCACGGCACGACAGAACCCGGGGUAUAAGAGGUCUCAUUUU